AUGACCCACACUAAUGCAGCUGCAGU
rnacentral:rasiRNA from 1 species